rnacentral:tRNA from 1 species
AGUUGAUUAAUUCAGCUAAUUGCUCCAUAGUUCAGUGGUAGAAUAACGCACUGUUAAUGCGCAGGUCCUUGGUUCGAAUCCAAGUGGAGCAG